rnacentral:rRNA from 1 species
CCCUUAGAGUUUGAUCCUGGCUCAGGAUGAACGCUGGCGGCGUGCUUAACACAUGCAAGUCGAGCGAAGCGAUUUAAAUGAGACUUCGGUGGAUUUUAAAUUGACUGAGCGGCGGACGGGUGAGUAACGCGUGGAUAACCUGCCUCGCACAGGGGGAUAACAGUUAGAAAUGACUGCUAAUACCGCAUAAGCGCACGGUACUGCAUGGUACAGUGUGAAAAACUCCGGUGGUGUGAGAUGGAUCCGCGUCUGAUUAGGUAGUUGGUGAGGUAACGGCCCACCAAGCCGACGAUCAGUAGCCGACCUGAGAGGGUGACCGGCCACAUUGGGACUGAGACACGGCCCAAACUCCUACGGGAGGCAGCAGUGGGGAAUAUUGCACAAUGGGCGAAAGCCUGAUGCAGCAACGCCGCGUGAGUGAAGAAGUAUCUCGGUAUGUAAA